rnacentral:rRNA from 1 species
AACGAACGCUGGCGGCAUGCCUAACACAUGUAAGUCGAACGAGACCUUCGGGUCUAGUGGCGCACGGGUGCGUAACGCGUGGGAACCUGCCCUUAGGUUCGGAAUAACUCCCCGAAAGGGGUGCUAAUACCGGAUAAUGUCUUCGGACCAAAGAUUUAUCGCCUUUGGAUGGGCCCGCGUUGGAUUAGCUAGUUGGUAGGGUAAAAGCCUACCAAGGCGACGAUCCAUAGCUGGUCUGAGAGGAUGAUCAGCCACACUGGGACUGAGACACGGCCCAGACUCCUACGGGAGGCAGCAGUGGGGAAUAUUGGACAAUGGGCGAAAGCCUGAUCCAGCAAUGCCGCGUGAGUGAUGAAGUCCUUAGGGUUGUAAAGCUCUUUUACCCGGGAUGAUAAUGACAGUACCGGGAGAAUAAGCUCCGGCUAACUCCGUG